GAUUGCCUCAGUAACUGCGAGUGAAGCGGCAACAGCUCGUCUUGAAUCUCUCCUCUGGAGCGAAAUGUGAGUCACAGCCUUACGUCGAGGGCGACGCGCAACUCGGCUGGAACGCCGGACCACGGAGGGUGCUAGUCCCGUGCCGCGUCGCCUUCGGGGAUAGGAUGUGUUGAACGAGUCGGGCAGUUUGGGAUUGCUGUCCUAACGGGAGGUAGACUCCUUCCAAAGCUAAAUAUCGACAGGAGACCGAUAGCGCACAAGUACUGUGAAGGAAAGAUGAAAAGCACUUUGAAAAGAGAGUUAAAAGACUUGAAAUCGCUGAGGAGGAAGCGGUGCGUACAGCGCAGGAGCCAGUGCAAGGGGACUCACGAGUCCCUGGAAGCUGUCCCGCUGCAGAGUGCAGCAGUCACAACGUGAGGCCCCGAGUCGUGUGCUCGGUGGUCUGCGUCCAGCUGCUGAAGGCGCUCCGGCGACUCUGCCGCUGUGCGCACCGACCCGUCUUGAAACACGGACCAAGGAGUCCAACAUGCGUGCGAGUAGGAGGGUGAACACCCCACUGCGCAACGAAAGUGAACCUGU
rnacentral:rRNA from 1 species